AGUGGACGCUGGCGGCAGGCCUAACACAUGCAAGUCGAACGAACCACUCGGGGUUCGUGGCGGUUGGGUGUGUAACAAGAGGGAUCGUGAAUUUAUGCUUGGAAUAACUCAGGGACACUUGUGCUAACACCGAACGUGCGCUUCGGGGGAAUGAUUUAUCGCCUUUAGAGCGGCCCGCGUCUGAUUCGCUAGUUGGUUGAGGUAAAGGCUCACCAAGGCGACGAUCAGUAGCUGGUCUGAGAGGAGGAUCAGCCACAUUGGGACUGAGACACGGCCCAAACUCCUACGGGAGGAUGCAGAGGUUGAUCUUGCGCAAGGGGGGAAGUACAGACGCAGCCAGGGCGGGUGAAUGGUGAAGGUCUUAGGAAAAUAAAAUUCUUUCAGCGGUGGCGAUAGUGACGUUACCCAGAGAAGAAGCCCCGGCUAACUUCGUG
rnacentral:rRNA from 1 species